rnacentral:rRNA from 1 species
AUUGAACGCUGGCGGCAGGCCUAACACAUGCAAGUCGAGCGCGAAAGUUCUUCGGAAUGAGUAAAGCGGCGGACGGGUGAGUAACACAUGGGAAUCUGCCUGGUAGUGGGGGACAACGUUUCGAAAGGAACGCUAAUACCGCAUACGCCCUACGGGGGAAAGGGGGGGAGUCGCAAGACCUCUCGCUAUCAGAUGAGCCC